rfam:Danio rerio chromosome 4, GRCz11 reference primary assembly.
GUCUCUGUGGUGCAAUCGUUUAGCGCGUUCGGCUGUUAACUGAAAGGUUGGUGGUUCAAGCCCACCCAGGGACG